UCAGAUGAUGAUCCCAAGCCUUCUGGCGAUCUGUUCAUGUUAAGCCUCUUAUGGCUUAAGAGAGCUUUUCUUUUUAUGUGCUUUCUAUUUGUCAGAUUGUACCGGGGAAGGUUUUUCCGGUUUACCCCGGAGGGCUUGUAGCUCAGUUGGUUAGAGCGCGCGCUUGAUAAGCGUGAGGUCGGAGGUUCAAGUCCUCCCAGGCCCACCAGUUUGUAGUUUCUGAUCUAUUAUCGGAUUGGAUUUAUAACUGCUUAUAGGAUUUAUGAGCUUAUGAAAGUGUGAAGCAUUUUGAGUGUUUGAUUAAGUUCAGGUGGAUUAGAGAAAGAUCCUCUUAGUCCUUACUUAGGGGCCGUAGCUCAGCUGGGAGAGCACCUGCUUUGCAAGCAGGGG
rnacentral:tRNA from 1 species